rnacentral:rRNA from 1 species
AUUGAACGCUGGCGGAAGGCUUAACACAUGCAAGUCGAGCGAGUGGCGGACGGGUGAGUAAUGUAUGGGAACAUGCCCAGUGGAGGGGGAUAACUACUCGAAACGGUAGCUAAUACCGCAUACUAUCAGAUGGGCCCAGAUGGGAUUAGCUAGUGGGUGGGGUAAAGGCUCACCAAGGCCACGAUCCCUAGCUGGUUUGAGAGGAUGACCAGCCACACUGGAACUGAGAAACGGUCCAGACUCCUACGGGAGGCAGCAGUGGGGAAUUUUGCACAAUGGGCGCAAGCCGGAUGCAGCCAUGCCGCGUGUGUGAUGAAGGCCUUCGGGUUGUAAAGCACUUUCAGCGAGGAAGCGGGACUCGCAGAAGAAGCACCGGCUAACUCCGUGCCAGCAGCCGCGGUAAUUC